rnacentral:lncRNA from 1 species
UGGUCGGUCACUAAUGAGAGGGAGUCUCAGGAUUUUGGGACUCUUUGAUUCUAAACCAAUUUGGCUCAAAUUUGAUCCGAUUCGAAUCCGAUUUGAAUCUGAUUUGAACCAGACUUGAAGAGCCUGUUAAUCCUAAUCUAAUUAGGAUUCUGAUCUAAGUCUAACUUAAAUAUAUAAUCUAAUUAAAUCUAAUUAAAUUAAAUCUAAUCUGAAAUUAAUUAGUACUUAAAUUCAAUCUCUCAUAAAUUUUUUGAAUCACUAAUCAGAUCAUUAUCAUCUCCAAAAUUAAAUCUGAAUCUCAUGUCC